rnacentral:tRNA from 1 species
GGAGAGGUGUCCGAGCGGUUGAAGGAGCACGCCUGGAAAGCGUGUAUACGGUUUAUACCGUAUCGCGGGUUCGAAUCCCGCUCUCUCCGCCA